UACGGGGGGUGCGAGCGUUGUCCGGAAUCACUGGGCGUAAAGGGCGCGUAGGUGGUCUGAUAAGGGUGUGGUGAAAGCCCGGGGCUCAACCCCGGGUCGGCCGUGCCGACUGUUAGACUAGAGUGCUGUAGGGGCAGGCGGAAUUCCGGGUGUAGCGGUGGAAUGCGUAGAGAUCCGGAAGAGCACCGGUGGCGAAGGCGGCCUGCUGGGCAGUUGCUGACACUGAGGCGCGACAGCGUGGGGAGCAAACAGG
rnacentral:rRNA from 1 species